AACGCACAUUGCGCCCCUUGGUAUUCCAUGGGGCAUGCCUGUUCGAGCGUCAUUUGUACCUUCAAGCUCUGCUUGGUGUUGGGUGUUUGUCCCGCCGUGCGCGUGGACUCGCCUUAAAGCAAUUGGCAGCCGGCAUACUGGUCGAAGAGCGCAGCACAUUUUGCGCAGUUCUCCAGUACGUUGGCGUCCAUCAAGCCUAUUUUUCACGCUUGACCUCGGAUCAGGUAGGGAUACCCGCUGAACUUAA
rnacentral:misc_RNA from 1 species